rnacentral:rRNA from 1 species
UACAGAGGGUGCAAGCGUUGUUCGGAAUCACUGGGCGUAAAGCGCACGUAGGCGGCUUUCUAAGUCAGGGGUGAAAUCCUGGAGCUCAACUCCAGAACUGCCUUUGAUACUGGAGAGCUUGAGUCCGGGAGAGGUGAGUGGAACUCCGAGUGUAGAGGUGAAAUUCGUAGAUAUUCGGAAGAACACCAGUGGCGAAGGCGGCUCACUGGCCCGGUACUGACGCUGAUGUGCGAAAGCGUGGGGAGCAAACAGG